rnacentral:piRNA from 1 species
GACCCCAAAGUUCAGGACAGGUAGAA